rnacentral:rRNA from 1 species
UACGGGGGGGGCAAGCGUUGUUCGGAAUUACUGGGCGUAAAGGGCUCGUAGGUGGCCAACUAAGUCGGACGUGAAAUCCCUCGGCUUAACCGGGGAACUGCGUCUGAUACUGGAUGGCUUGAGUUCGGGAGAGGGAUGCGGAAUUCCAGGUGUAGCGGUGAAAUGCGUAGAUAUCGAGAGGAACACCUGCGGCGAAGGCGGGUUGCUGGGCUGACACUGACGCUGAACUGCGAAAGCUAGGGGAGCGAACGGG